rnacentral:rRNA from 1 species
ACUUGUCGUUAAACCUAAAGGCGCAAUGAAAGUAAAGGUCCGCCUCGGCGCGGACCGAGGGAAGAUGGGCCCGUCUUCGGGCGGGCCCCGCACUCCCGGGGCGUCUCGCCCUCAACGCGAGGAGAGGCGCACCCAGAGCGUACACGCUGGGACCCGAAAGAUGGUGAACUAUGCCUGGUCAGGACGAAGUCAGGGGAAACCCUGAUGGAGGUCCGUAGCGAUUCUGACGUGCAAAUCGAUCGUCGGAACUGGGUAUAGGGGCGAAAGACUAAUCGAACCAUCUAGUAGCUGGUUCCUUCCGA